rnacentral:misc_RNA from 1 species
GAUGAAGAACGUAGCGAAAUGCGAUAAUUAAUGUGAAUUGCAGAAUUUAGUGAAUCAUCGAAUCUUUGAACGCACAUUGCGCCCCUUGGUAUUCCGGGGGGCAUGCCUGUUCGAGCGUCAUUUCAACCCUCAAGCACAGCUUGGUGUUGGGACUCGCGUUAAUUCGCGUUCCCCAAAUUGAUUGGCGGUCACGUCGAGCUUCCAUAGCGUAGUAGUAAAACCCUCGUUACUGGUAAUCGUCGCGGCCACGCCGUUAAACCCCAACUUCUGAAUGUUGACCUCGGAUCAGGUAGGAAUACCCGCUGAACUUAAGCAUAUCAAUAAGCGGAGGA